UGACAAAAUCUUCCUUGCUGGCAGUUAAGGUCUUUCCUGAGUGGAGAAUUGGAGAUUCCCCAAUGAUCUUUCAAAGGCAAAGACAUUCUUCGUCAUCACUCAGUCUACCAUUUUCCAACAUCCCAUCUGGUAUGUGUCCAGUUUAUUACACCAUCUGAUCUUCGCCCCUUGGCUUACAAUACUCUUCCAGUCUUUCCUCCUUCACUUUCAAUUCUUCCAGCGUGGAACAACUUGUAACACUGUCUGCCAGUAUGUAGGAUAGCGUAAUGCAAAACUCUGUACAGCACAGUGUCUGGUUAUCUCGCUGCAGCUGUUUUAGCAAACUUGUUUUUAAUGGUGCAAUCCACCCUGGGACUAUAAAGGGUGGGUAAUAAAUUUAUUAUUAACUUUUUCAUUCUCUCUCCCUUUAAAGCACUUUUUUUAAAAAGCCAGACAAAAUCCAGACUGAAGGAUGGAUAAACCAUAACCAAUCUUUUUUUGGGGGGGGGGCAGGUUCUUGAUGCCUUGCUGGCUUCCAAAGGUCAUCAACCAGUUGUGUAUACAGCAUGACCACGUCCUGGCAUUCCCAAUCUGGGGUAGAUCCUCUCUCGCAACAUCCAUGAUUUUUUAAAGUUUAUUCAGGAACAGAUAAAUGGCUUGGAGCCAGUACCUUCAAGAGAACAAGUGGCCUCUCUGAGCAGUGUUUUUUCUUGCCUUGGUGAGGAUCUGACCUAUAAACAUUUCCUCAAGGCGAUUGUGCAGUCCUACAUCCCGGUUAGAGAUUCCUUUCUUGGGAUUUAAAUUGGGUUCUCACAAUCCAUAGCUACCUUGCGAUCUGAAGCUUUUACUUCAGCUUAUGUUUCUGAGUCGGAGGGACAGCUUGAGUUCAUAAAUGAAUGAAUGAAACUUUAUUUGCAUCAGCCACAGCAACAAAAGAACAUUGUGAUAUACACAGAACAAAAUAAAAAGUUGUUGAUAUAAAACACAGUUUAGGGUCCACAACUUGAGUUCAUAUCUACCAUAUUCAACGGAGUCUUUGCAUUUCAGUGCCAUUUUCAUUUUUUCCCCCUUUCAAAUUACUUUCUUCUUCCAUCAUUUCAUUCCACAGUCUCUGUGUGGACACUUUUGCUGGUUGCAUCCGGCUGCAGUUCUUUCUGAUAUGGAAUGAAAUAGGAAAGUCUCGUAAAUCCCGGUAGCUUUCCAAGAACCUGGAUUGCACUAUUCAUUAGUGAGGCCGAAAACUCACUGCCUUCGCUAUCUUAAAUAAA